AUUGAACGCUGGCGGAAUGCUUUACACAUGCAAGUCGGGCGGCAGCGCGGGGGGCAACCCUGGCGGCGAGCGGCGAACGGGUGAGUAAUACAUCGGAACGUGUCCUUGAGUGGGGGAUAGCUCGGCGAAAGCCGGAUUAAUACCGCAUAAGCUCUGAGGAGGAAAGCGGGGGACUGGUAACGGCCUCGCGCUGUUGGAGCGGCCGAUGUCGGAUUAGCUAGUUGGUGGGGUAAAGGCCCACCAAGGCGACGAUCCGUAGCUGGUCUGAGAGGAUGAUCAGCCACACUGGAACUGAGACACGGUCCAGACUCCUACGGGAGGCAGCAGUGGGGAAUUUUGGACAAUGGGGCAACCUGAUCCAGCCAUUCCGCGUGAGUGAAGAAGGCC
rnacentral:rRNA from 1 species